GGAUGUGAGGGAAAUCUAGCUGCGACAUCUGUCAUCCCCACUGAUCACCAGGGUUAAUUCAGCUGAUCUCGCUGGCUAGGUGGAUGUCCCCUUCCUUCAUCACCAUUCCAUGUGCAUCCCUGCCAAAGCUACAUGCUCAGUGGAACAUGAUAACCAUCCCAGAGAGAAGAAGUAUAUGCCUGACUAG
rnacentral:snRNA from 1 species